UACGAGGGGUGCAAGCGUUGCUCGGAAUUAUUGGGCGUAAAGGGUAGGUAGGUGGUCUCAUUUGUCUGGGGUGAAAGCCUUGAGCUUAACUCAAGAAGUGCCCCGGAAACGGUGAGACUGGAGUCUCGGAGAGGGUCGUGGAAUUCCCGGUGUAGCGGUGAAAUGCGUAGAGAUCGGGAGGAACACCAGAGGCGAAGGCGGCGACCUGGACGAGUACUGACACUCAAAUACGAAAGCGUGGGGAGCAAACAGG
rnacentral:rRNA from 1 species